ACAGGGAUUGCCCUAGUAACGGCGAGUGAAGCGGCAACAGCUCAAAUUUGAAAUCUGGCGCAAGCCCGAGUUGUAAUUUGUAGAGGAUGCUUCUGGCCAGCGGCCGUUCUAAGUUCCUUGGAACAGGACGUCAUAGAGGGUGAGAAUCCCGUAUGUGACCGGCGCGCAGCCUUUACGUAGCUCCUUCGACGAGUCGAGUUGUUUGGGAAUGCAGCUCUAAAUGGGAGGUAAAUUUCUUCUAAAGCUAAAUACCGGCCAGAGACCGAUAGCGCACAAGUAGAGUGAUCGAAAGAUGAAAAGCACUUUGGAAAGAGAGUUAAAAAGCACGUGAAAUUGUUGAAAGGGAAGCGCUUGCAACCAGACUUCGUAGCGGUGUUCCGCCGGUCUUCUGACCGGUCUACUCAUCGUCGCGAGGCCAACAUCGUCUGGGACCGCUGGAUAAGACCUAAGGAAUGUAGCUUCCCUCGGGAAGUGUUAUAGCCUGUGGUGAUGCAGCGCGUCUCGGGCGAGGUCCGCGCUUCGGCAAGGAUGUUGGCGUAAUGGUUGUCAGCGGCCCGUCUUGAAACACGGACCAAGGAGUCUAACAUCUAUGCGAGUGUUCGGGUGUCAAACCCCUACGCGUAAUGAAAGUGAACGGAGGUGGGAAGCGCAAGCUGCACCAUCGACCGAUCCUGAUGUCCUCGGAUGGAUUUGAGUAAGAGCAUAGCUGUUGGGACCCGAAAGAUGGUGAACUAUGCCUGAAUAGGGUGAAGCCAGAGGAAACUCUGGUGGAGGCUCGCAGCGGUUCUGACGUGCAAAUCGAUCGUCAAAUUUGGGUAUAGGGGCGAAAGACUAAUCGAACCAUCUAGUAGCUGGUUCCUGCCGAA
rnacentral:rRNA from 1 species